CACUGUCCACCUAUUGCGGGAGGCAGACGUGCUCGAGGCCGUACAGAAGUACCCCGAUGCAGCGCAGAUACCCGCCCGCAACAAGUCCACCUUGCGCGAGCA
rnacentral:SRP_RNA from 1 species